rnacentral:rRNA from 1 species
CUUGGGUUGAUCCCGCCGGACCCGACUGCUAUCGGAUUGAGAUUUAGCCAUGCGAGUCGAACGUCCCCCUGUUGCGGGGGGCGUGGCGUACGGCUCAGUAACACGUAGUCAACCUGCCCUGGAGACAAGGACAACCCCGGGAAACUGGGAUUAAUCCUUGAUAGGUCAUCUCAUCUGGAAGGAGAGAUGGCUUAAAGGGGUACGCGGGCUUCUUCCGCGAAUCUGCUCCAGGAUGGGACUGCGUCCGAUCAGGCUGUUGGCGGGGUAAUGGCCCACCAAACCUGUAACCGGUACGGGCCUUGAGAGAGGUGGCCCGGAGAUGGACACUGAGAGAAGGGUCCAGGUCCUACGGGGCGCAGCAGGCGCGAAACCUUCGCAAUGCGCGAAAGCGUGACGAGGUUAAUCCGAGUGACUCCCGCUGAGGGGGUCUUUUGUCAGCUGUAAAUAGGCAGGCGAAUAAGGGGAGGGCAAGCCUGGUGUCAGCCGCCGCGGUAAUACCAGCUCCUCGAGUGGUCGGGGCGAUUAUUGGGCCUAAAGCAUCCGUAGCCGGUUCCGUAGGUCCUCUGUUAAAUCCAACCGCUUAACGGUUGACCUGCAGAGGAUACCGCGGGACUAGGAGGCGGGAGAGGCGGACGGUACUCCGCGUGUAGGGGUAAAAUCCUUUGAUCCGCGGAAGACCACCAGUGGCGAAGGCGGUCCGCCAGAACGCGCUCGACGGUGAGGGAUGAAAGCUGGGGGAGCGAACCGGAUUAGAUACCCGGGUAGUCCCAGCCGUAAACGAUGCUAGCUAGAUGAUUCAUUCGCAAGUCGCGAAUGAAGUGUCGCAGGGAAGCCGUUAAGCUAGCCGCCUGGGGAGUACGGUCGCAAGACUGAAACUUAAAGAAAUUGGCGGGGGAGCA